rnacentral:rRNA from 1 species
UACGUAGGGUGCAGGCGUUAAUCGGAAUUACUGGGCGUAAAGCGUGCGCAGGCGGUUUUGUAAGCCAGAUGUGAACAUCCCCGGGCUUAACCUGGGAAUGGCAUUUGGGACUGCAAGGCUUGAGUGCGGCAGAGGAGACUGGAAUUCCUGGUGUAGCAGUGAAAUGCGUAGAUAUCAGGAGGAAUACCGAUGGCGAAGGCAGGUCUCUGGGCUGACACUGACGCUCAUGCACGAAAGCGUGGGAGCAAACGGG